AGUGAACGCUGGCGGUAGGCCUAACACAUGCCAGUCGAACGGCAGCACAGUAAGGGCUUGCUCUUACGGGUGGCGAGUGGCGGACGGGUGAGGAAUACAUCGGAAUCUACUUUUUGGUGGGGGAUAACGUAGGGAAACUUACGCUAAUACCGCAUACGACCUACGGGUGAAAGCAGGGGAUCUUCGGACCUUGCGCGAUUGAAUGAGCCGAUGUCGGAUUAGCUAGUUGGGGGGGGAAAUGCCCACCAAGGCGACGAUCCGUAGCUGGUCUGAGAGGAUGAUCGGCCGCACUGGAGCUUAGACACGGUCCAGACUACUACGGGAGGCAGCAGUGGGGAAUAUUGGACAAUGGGCGCAAGCCUGAUCCAGCCAUACCGCGUGGGUGAAGAAGGCCUUCGGGUUGUAAAGCCCUUUUGUUGGGAAAGAAAAGCAGCAGGUUAAUACCCCGCUGUUCUGACGGUACCCAAAGAAUAAGCACCGGCUAACUUCGUG
rnacentral:rRNA from 1 species